AAUGAACGCUGGCGGCAUGCCUAACACAUGCAAGUCGAACGAAGCUUUCGGGUUUAGUGGCGCACGGGUGCGUAACGCGUGGGAAUCUGCCCCUUGGUUCGGAAUAACAGUUGGAAACGACUGCUAAUACCGGAUGAUGACGUAAGUCCAAAGAUUUAUCGCCGAGGGAUGAGCCCGCGUAGGAUUAGGUAGUUGGUGUGGUAAAGGCGCACCAAGCCGACGAUCCUUAGCUGGUCUGAGAGGAUGAUCAGCCACACUGGGACUGAGACACGGCCCAGACUCCUACGGGAGGCAGCAGUGGGGAAUAUUGGACAAUGGGCGAAAGCCUGAUCCAGCAAUGCCGCGUGAGUGAUGAAGGCCUUAGGGUUGUAAAGCUCUUUUACCCGGGAUGAUAAUGACAGUACCGGGAGAAUAAGCUCCGGCUAACUCCGUGCCAGCAGCCGCGGUAAUACGGAGGGAGCUAGCGUUAUUCGGAAUUACUGGGCGUAAAGCGCACGUAGGCGGCUUUGUAAGUAAGAGGUGAAAGCCCAGAGCUCAACUCUGGAAUUGCCUUUUAGACUGCAUCGCUUGAAUCAUGGAGAGGUCAGUGGAAUUCCGAGUGUAGAGGUGAAAUUCGUAGAUAUUCGGAAGAACACCAGUGGCGAAGGCGGCUGACUGGACAUGUAUUGACGCUGAGGUGCGAAAGCGUGGGGAGCAAACAGG
rnacentral:rRNA from 1 species